UUCCAAGGAAAUGAUCCAAAGGGCGAAGAAGGGGGAGAACUUGCAGAAAGAUGUUAACAGCAGGGCUAUUCACAGUGAUCGUGAUGACCAAAACCUGGGAAUGGACCCAGUUGUCCAACAACUGAGUAACACAAACAAGCGCCGUCACAUUGACAGCAAGAACCCUGGCAGGUUAGUUGAAACCACCCCUAGCUGGACUAAUGCAGGAAGAGGCCCCGAUGAUCCAUCCAAUACAGCUUUUCCCUUUCAGAUAGUAACACUGACUUCACGACCAGAGAGUCCUUUAAGUCUAUACUGAGCUACUCAUUCAGACCUCCGCAGAGGCCGCCAGGAGAACAGACGGAGCUAGACACUCCCACUUAUGCACUGGAGCAAAAUAAUGAGAUCAUCUAUGAUUAUGGAUUAUUUUUCUGAUGACAAAAUAAUAUGCAAGGCAAAGGAGCACUCUGUCUAGCGGGGCGUUGGUGGCGUGCGCCUGUAGUCCCAGCUACCCCUGAGGCUGAGGUGGAGGCCGCCUCCGUUGAGCCCAGGAGGCCAAGGCUGCAGUGAGCUGUGAUCACACCAGUGCACUCCAGCCUGGGCAACAGAGUGAGAUUCUGUCUCAAAAAGAAACCCAAAAAAACCAAAGAAAACAAAACACUAUGUGGUUCUCAGUUUCCAAAUUAAUUUUGACUGUUGUAUAUUUGUAUGUAGCUUGGUGGAAUAAUAGGAAGCCAUGGUCCAAAUACUGGACAUGAAAACCUUAUUUUAAGAGUAGUGAUCAACAAGAUAUAUAUCCUAGGCAUCUUCUACAUGUAUGUAUUUAUAUAGACCAGAAAAAGCCAUGGUACAGAAGAUUUUUACCCAAGACCUAUCCCGUUGUCUACCUGGAAGAAGAGAAAAUGAAUCUGUUGAUAUGAGUUAAACCUUUUUGCAGGAUGGGGUAGGGGGGAGGUUAGUACAACAAUUCUUAUUUUCAAAAGUAAUGCACAAAUGCAUUCUUGUAAAAGUUCAAACGAGGGCCGGGCGCGGUGGCUCAAGCCUGUAAUCCCAGCACUUUGGGAGGCCGAGACGGGCGGAUCACGAGGUCAGGAGACCGAGACCAUCCUGGCUAACACGGUGAAACCCCUGAAACCCCGUCUCUACUAAAAAAUACAAAAAACUAGCCGGGCGAGGUGGCAGGCGCCUGUAGUCCCAGCUACUCGGGAGGCUGAGGCAGGAGAAUGGCGUAAACCCAGGACGGGGAGCUUGCAGUGAGCUGAGAUCGUGCCACUGCACUCCAGCCUGGGCGACAGAGCGAAACUCCGUCUCAAAAAAAAAAAAAAAGUUCAAACGAACCACAAAUAUAUGGAACAUAAUCUAAAAUUUACUCUUCCAACUCUAUUUCCACAUACAUUCUUGUAUCACUCAAGGCCUUUGGCCAUCGUCAUACAUAUGUAUUAUAGAUACACAUUACCUUUUCCCUACAGACAUGAAAUUACACCAUAUUAUGGUGUUUGGCAACUUGGGUUUUUUCCUCGUUACUAAUAUGUCCUAGAGGCGUGUCCAUGUCUAUAGGCAGAGAUCUGCUUCCUUCCACUUACCUGCUGUCCUCUACUCCACAGUUUGGAUGUGCCACACUGUCAUUAUUCUCUAUAUGAGAGCAUAGUGGUUAAGGAAUAAUUGCCAAAAUCCUGCCCCAAACACACACUUGCUGUGUGGCCCUGAACAAGUUACCGAACUCCUCUGUGUCUCGAUGUCCUCACAAUAUUUGUUAUAAAGUGUUUAGAAUGUGUGCUGGCCCUCAAUCAAUGCUAGAUAUUAUUCAUAUUUUCUCACUGUCACAAUGAUCUAUUGACAUCCUCGUAGCCUCUUUGCAUUCAUAUUUGAAUAGUAUAGAUUCCUAAAAGUGGAAUUGUCAUAACAACGGGUAGGCAUACUGUAAAUACAGAUGCUGCCAACCUGUUAUUUAUUUAUUUAUUUAAGUCAGGGUCACCUUCUGUCCUUCAGACUGGAGUGCAGUGGCAUGAGAGAUCUCGGCUCACUACAACCUCCACCUCUCGGGCUCCGGCAGUCCUCCCACUUCAGCCUCCUGAGUAGCUGGAACUGCAAGCACACACCACUAUGCCUGGCUAAUAUUUGUAUUUUUUGUAGAGACGGGAUUUUUCCUUGUUACCCAGGCUGGUCUCUUAACUUCUGAGCUCAAGCGAUCCACUCACCUCAGCCUCCCGAAGUGCUGGGAUUACAGGGGUGAGUCACAGCGCUGGGCCUCAACCUGGCCUUUAAAAAGAUGCUACCCUUUUACAUUCUCAGCGUGAGUCGAAGACACUGCCCAUUUCCCUUCACCUUUCCCAGUAUUCAAUAUUAUAAAUAUUUUUAAUUGUCGUCAACAAAAUGGGCAAAAAAACGACAUCUUGUUCUGACUUGUAUUCCCUUAAUUACUACUGAAGAUAGGCAUUUUGUAUAUCUAUUUCUUCUGCAAUUACCUGUUUAUAUCUUUUAUCCAUUAGUUUUACCUCUUUUUUGUGAUUUAUAAGAGCUCCUUAUGUAUUUUGGAUAUUCCUCUGUGUUAUAUUAUAAUAAAAUAUUAAAAUGUUACAGUUUGUAAAGAUUUUUUUCCAAUCUGUUGCCUGCCAUUCGGUUUUGUUUUUACCUGUUAUACAGUCAAAUCGGUUGAUAUUGUCCUCUACAGCUU
ensembl:lncRNA